CUAGUACUCCCUUCGUCCGGAAAUACUUGUCAUCAAAAUAGAUAAAAAUGGAUGUAUCUAGAACUAAAAUACAUCUAGAUAUAUCCAUUUUAAUGACAAGUAUUUUCGGACGGAGGGAGUAUGCU
rnacentral:pre_miRNA from 1 species